rnacentral:rRNA from 1 species
UACAGGGGGGGGCAAGCGUUGUUCGGAAUUACUGGGCGUAAAGGGUUCGUAGGUGGCCAACUAAGUCAGACGUGAAAUCCCUCAGCUUAACUUGGGAACUGCCAUUGAUACUAUCAGUCUUGAAUACUGUGGAGGUUAGCGGAAUAUGUCAUGUAGCGGUGAAAUGCUUAGAUAUGACAUAGAAACACCAAUUUGCGAAGGCAGCUGGCUACACAAAUUUAUUGACACUGAGGCUCGAAAGCGUGGGGAUCAAACAGG